CCCUGGGCAGGAGAGAUUUAAGAACACCGUCCUCCCGCUUUCCCGGAAAGGCCAAGAGAGACUUGAAAUGUAGACGCGGAGGCCUAGGGGAAAUGUAGUUUUAAAUAGAGCUUCAGAGCAGAGACAAGAGCCCAGAAAGGAGCAGAUGCUAGAUUUGCAAGAUCAGAAGCAGGUCUUGAUCCUCCUGCCCAGGAUGAACCAGACUUGAUGAUGCCACCUUCAGGAGCCACCACACUGUGUGACAGUGGGGCAUUUGGGCCGUCCCUGGGAAGAACAGAUGCGCUGCUGUCACACAUGUCCACCACCACAUGUGACAUUAGUGACGUUAUCCUGACGUCACAGGAUCCAAGAAUGAUGAUCUGUGAAGAGUUUUCCAAGGUCACCUACUUCUAACUCUUUUGAAAGAUUUAAAGACAUUGGGCCUGAAAACUUCAGUGACUUGUCCGGGGAAACGCAGUUUGUGACAGUUCACUCUCUCACAGCUGAAGCACAGUCCUCUGUACUCGCCCAGGAGCCACAGAGAGUGAACAUCCCUCAGACUCUCUCCUGGCUUUGAUGAAGCAAGCUGCCAUGUUGGAGAGGCCUACAUGACAAGGAACUGAAGGUUGCCUCCAGCCAGCUCCAGCCAACAGCCAUCCAGGAAUUGAGGCUCUCAGUCCAACAGGCCUUGAGGAACUGCAUCCAGCCAGCAACUAUAGAAGUGAGCAAAGAAGGGUGUAUUUCCCCAGUCAAGCCUUCAGAUGAGACCCCAGCCCCAGCUGACACCUUAAUUGCAGCCUUGUGAGAGA
rnacentral:lncRNA from 1 species